CCCUUAGAUGUUCUGGGCUGCACGCGCGCUACACUGAAGCGUUCAACGAGUAUUCACCUUGCCCGGGAGGGUUGGGUAAUCUUUUGAAAACGCUUCGUGAUGGGGAUAGAUUAUUGCAAUUAUUAAUCUUCAACGAGGAAUUCCUAGUAAGCGCGAGUCAUCAGCUCGUGUUGAUUACGUCCCUGCCCUUUGUACACACCGUCCGUCGCUCCUACCGAUUGAGUGAUCCGGUGAAUAAUUCGGACUGCAGCACUGCUUGGUCUCCAGGCUUUGCAGCGGAAAGUUUAGUGAACCUUAUCACUUAGAGGAAGGAGAAGUCGUAACA
rnacentral:rRNA from 1 species